GCCUCUUUGGUCCAGUGGUUGAGCGUUGAACUCAAGAUCCGGAGGUCCCGGGUUCGAAUCCCGGAGGGGACA